rnacentral:rRNA from 1 species
AUUGAACGCUGGCGGCAGGCCUAACACAUGCAAGUCGAACGAGGGGGAGGCGUGUGAGUAAUGUCUGGGAAACUGCCUGGGAGAGGGGGAUAAACACUGAAAGGGGUCGCUAAUACCGCAUACCAUCAUAUGCGCACAGAUGGGAUUAGCUAGUAGGUGGGGUAACGGCACACCUAGGCGACGCUCCCUCGCUGGUCUGAGAGGAUGACCAGCCACACUGGAACUGAGACACGGUCCAGACUCCUACGGGAGGCAGCAGUGGGGAAUAUUGCACAAUGGGCGCAAGCCUGAUGCAGCCAUGCCGCGUGUAUGAAGAAGGCCUUCGGGUUGUAAAGUACUUUCAGCGGGGAGGCGUUACCCGCAGAAGAAGCACCGGCUAACUCCGUGCCAGCAGCCGCGGUAAUAC